rnacentral:lncRNA from 1 species
GAUUCCCACACCAGCUACACAGAUGGUCAGGCAGAGUGUCCCAGGAUCCGGAGAUGGUCAGCCCGGCAGGACCCGGGCCGCUCAGACCUUGUGGCUUUUUGCUGAGGCCGCAGAAUGAGGACAGCGGACGGAUGAGGACCUGGACUUUACCAGCGCACAGACAGAGCAAAAGGAGACAGGAGACUGACAGGACAGAAAAGAGCUUUUGCUUUUUCUACAUUUUGUUUUUGUUUUGUUUUUUCCUGAUAGUCCCACAAAGCUGAAGAUCUUGACCUGCAAGAGCGGACAACAACGUGACUCAGGCUGGGACCACUGAGCCUACCUAGGUCACAGGGAGGAAAAAAGGGACCGCAGAACAGCAGAGAUAGGACCUCCCAACCCUGCGCCAGCUGGCAGCUCCCUGCCAGAGAAGCAGAGACAUCCCUCCUUCCUCCCUUCCCCCAUAAGAGCCAAAGGCUCGAAGGCCGAACCUCCCGCCGCCGUCAGCCCACGGGGGCAGCUCUCAGAGAGCCAGGGAGGAGUUGUGAUGAGGGGAGAACCGGGAUCCAGGCCUUAGCCUGCCAGGGGCUCAGUCCGACCGUGGCUACCGCCUGCGGAAGAUACAGCGCCUGCAUAACACCGAGCCAGCAAUUCCAAUAUCAACAUCAAUAAAAAGAAUCGAAAACCUAGGAAGGAGUGGAGGAAAUUUAUUUGCAACGCGACCCAACUUUUCUAUGCGCCAUCUUUUCUGCCCUUGAGUUGGGACGGACUAAGGAGGCCUCAAGGUUUUGCUGAACUUCUCUUUGGAUUCAAAACCAUUCUUGCACUAGUGUCUGUUUGCUUUCUCCAGCUCUGCUCCAAAUCCCGGACCGGACGUCGGAAACCCGCGCCCGCCGCCGUCAGGAACGCUCACGGGCUCCCCGGAGUCUUACAGAAAGCCGGGAAGGAAGGUCCCGUUUCUUCUCUAAGGUCUGGGACUUGAGAGGUGAGAGGGCGGAGGAAAGGAUCUCCCCCCACCCCCAACCGGUAAGAAGGAGGAGGAGGAGGGAGGCUGAGGCGCGGACCCAGGCCCCGAGUGAUUAGUCACACAAUUUAAAGGCAAAGGAGGGAUUAAGCCCGGAGUCUAUUGUUCCAGUUGUUUAGGCACGUGUGACCUCUGAGUUCCCAAACAAAUCGUCUGGGGAAAUCCUUCCUGCGCCCUAAUCAGAUUGUCCAGGGACAGAGGGCCGGACGGCAGGCAGCUCGGGAUACCGAGAGCAGU